AAUGAACGCUGGCGGCAUGCCUAACACAUGCAAGUCGAACGAAGCCUUCGGGCUUAGUGGCGCACGGGUGCGUAACGCGUGGGAAUCUGCCCUUGGGUUUGGAAUAACAGCGAGAAAUUGCUGCUAAUACCGGAUGAUGACGUAAGUCCAAAGAUUUAUCGCCCAAGGAUGAGCCCGCGUAGGAUUAGCUAGUUGGUGAGGUAAAGGCUCACCAAGGCGACGAUCCUUAGCUGGUCUGAGAGGAUGAUCAGCCACACUGGGACUGAGACACGGCCCAGACUCCUACGGGAGGCAGCAGUGGGGAAUAUUGGACAAUGGGCGAAAGCCUGAUCCAGCAAUGCCGCGUGAGUGAUGAAGGCCUUAGGGUUGUAAAGCUCUUUUACCCGGGAUGAUAAUGACAGUACCGGGAGAAUAAGCUCCGGCUAACUCCGUGCCAGCCGCCGC
rnacentral:rRNA from 1 species